rfam:Ovis aries breed Texel chromosome 8, whole genome shotgun sequence.
GAGGUUGGAUAUGAGGGCAACCUUUCAUUAAUCGCCAGGGUUGAUUGGGCUGAUUUCUCUGGCUAAGCAGAUGUCUUCUUCCUCAAUCAACACUCCAGGUGUGUUCCUCCCAAAGCUAUGUGUCCAGUAGAAGAGGAUGACCAUCUCUCAUAGAGGAGGACCGUUCUUUGGUCAAUGGAAUAUGAGUAGUUGCACUACCCUGCUAGAAACUCCAAACAAGUUCUCAAGGUCCACUGGUAGGAGAACAUAGGAUCAUCAAACUUCCAAGAUUCCAGACACAUCCAAAUGAGGUGGUGAUUGUGGCAGUCUGCCUUUCUUA